GACGAACGCUGGCGGCGUGCUUAACACAUGCAAGUCGAACGGACGAGUGAGAUAAGUUACUUAACUCACAAGUUAGUGGCGGACGGGUGAGUAACACGUGGAUAAUCUACCUGCAACACCGGGAUAACGCUGUGAAAACGGUGCUAAUACCGGAUACGUUCCCUUGUGCGCAUGUAUGAGGGAAGAAAGCUCAGGCGGUUGCAGAUGAGUCCGCGGCUGAUUAGCUAGUUGGUGAGGUAAAGGCUCACCAAGGCGAUGAUCAGUAGCCGGCCUGAGAGGGUGAACGGCCACACUGGAAUUGAGAUACGGUCCAGACUCCUACGGGAGGCAGCAGUGGGGAAUCUUGGGCAAUGGGCGAAAGCCUGACCCAGCGACGCCGCGUUGGGGAUGAAGCCCUUCGGGGCGUAAACCCAUGUUGUAGGGGACGAAGAAAGUGACGGUACCCUACGAGAAAGCCCCGGCCAACUACGUG
rnacentral:rRNA from 1 species